AUUUAUCUCUGACAAAGGAAGAACUACAUUACCAAAAAAAUAAAUAAAGAAAUAGGACAGAACUAGGAAUCAAUCUGUUCUCAGGAGCCAGCAACAGGAUAAAAUUGAAAUGAAUCACUGAAGCUCUGCUGGAGCCGCAUUCCAAUUUUUAUCAAUGACUGUGAAAUGGGUCCGUCCAAUCCAUAUAAAAACAAAUGCGGCUUCGUCUCGCCGCGCAGUCAACGGCUGCUGAUUGAGUUUACACGUCCUUUCCCACUCACCCCUAACCUAUUACAACCCAGAACGUGUCUCCUCUUUGCUUCCCGAGAGACUCACCUCAUAUGAUAUUUCUUUCUCCUGUUCUGUCUAGUGUCUACUUUUUGGCGUCUCCUCCGACUACCGGACUUCACUGCUUGCCGGAAGAAUUUUACGGUGGAAAAUAUUAGAGCAAGAGAACUUACAAAGAGAAUAUGUUCAAAUCAUUUUUUUUUCAACUUUAUUCUCCAUUAGAGCCUGAGGUGAAUUGACAAUGCAUUGGAUACAAAAGAUUAUUCCUUGCAAUAUCACAUUAAUUACUAAUGUAUACUCCUCCGUCUUUAUUUUCUUUUUUUAAUUAAUCUUGAAGUUCCUAACCCAUUUGCUCGAGUGCUUUCAAUUUGCAGAUGGUUUCAGAGAGUGCGCAAUAAUUGAUCUUAAUUUUUG
rnacentral:misc_RNA from 1 species